rnacentral:rRNA from 1 species
AGAGCGAACGCUGGCGGCAGGCUUAACACAUGCAAGUCGAGCGGGCGUAGCAAUACGUCAGCGGCAGACGGGUGAGUAACGCGUGGGAACGUACCUUUUGGUUCGGAACAACACAGGGGAAACUUGUGCUAAUACCGGAUAAGCCCUUACGGGGAAAGAUUUAUCGCCGAAAGAUCGGCCCGCGUCUGAUUAGCUAGUUGGUGAGGUAACGGCUCACCAAGGCGACGAUCAGUAGCUGGUCUGAGAGGAUGAUCAGCCACAUUGGGACUGAGACACGGCCCAAACUCCUACGGGAGGCAGCAGUGGGGAAUAUUGGACAAUGGGCGAAAGCCUGAUCCAGCCAUGCCGCGUGAGUGAUGAAGGCCCUAGGGUUGUAAAGCUCUUUUGUGCGGGAAGAUAAUGACGGUACCGCAAGAAUAAGCCCCGGCUAACUUCGUGCCAGCAGCCGC